GACGAACGCUGGCGGCGUGCUUAACACAUGCAAGUCGAACGCUGAAGCUUGGCGCUUGCACUGGGUGGAUGAGUGGCGAACGGGUGAGUAAUACGUGAGUAACCUGCCCUUGACUCUGGGAUAAGCCUGGGAAACUGGGUCUAAUACUGGAUACGACAUGUCACCGCAUGGUGGUGUGUGGAAAGGGUUUUACUGGUUUUGGAUGGGCUCACGGCCUAUCAGCUUGUUGGUGGGGUAAUGGCUCACCAAGGCGACGACGGGUAGCCGGCCUGAGAGGGUGACCGGCCACACUGGGACUGAGACACGGCCCAGACUCCUACGGGAGGCAGCAGUGGGGAAUAUUGCACAAUGGGCGGAAGCCUGAUGCAGCGACGCCGCGUGGGGGAUGACGGCCUUCGGGUUGUAAACCUCUUUCAGCACGGAAGAAGCGAAAGUGACGGUACGUGCAGAAGAAGCGCCGGCUAACUACGUG
rnacentral:rRNA from 1 species